rnacentral:misc_RNA from 1 species
CAACUCCUAAACGCAUCCACACAGCAAUACGUGCGCGUUCUCUUAUUUCACGGGGAGCGUUUUUUUUUUUUGCUCCUUCCUGUUGGCUCUGCUGUGCUCUGAGUCACCAGCAGUGCCAGCGACGUUGCACGCACACACAAGAACUUGCAAGACGCAAUCAUUACGCAUCGUUUUACCUUGUCGUUCCUUUAUCUCCCAUUUUUCGCCAUCCCACACCAUUUACCACUCCGCCCACCCACUUCCCUCCCCGCCUCUGCGGCUUCCCUCACUUUUGCCGGCGGCACAAGGCCAGUCGUGGUGCUUCUUCGUCUCUAUCUCUUGUGUGUCUGUUUCUAUCUUUCCAUCUGCAUCGUCUCCCCCGCUCUUCUCGCAUCGUAGGGUGCACUCAUUUGUGUGUGUGUGUGUGUGUGGGUGUGUCUGCCUGUCCGGAAAGUCGACGUUAACGGCACUUGCUCAAGCUCAGGGUGCCAAGCAGCGCUAAAGCAGGUGGCAGAGACCUCUCAAGGUGCGCACGCGCGACCCAUCGAGGCAGGGAGCGCGAACACCUGGAGGCGGCAGAGGUCAUGCGAAGGGUGCGAACCUUAGCCGGGACCUAAGUAGCGCUAGUGAACGAAAAGCGCACCAAGCAGGCAGCGAGAAGAGCACGAAGUCUGGCAGAGAGACGGAGAAAGCACUAGAACUGCCAAAGCUGCCGAGACGCGCACGCCUGACUCGCCGUGUAGCGAGGCUCUUAUCUAGCUUCCGUGCACAGCAACGCGCGCAGCCCUUCUCCCUUAUCGGCGUAUCUGCACUCUACAAGCACACACACAUACACACACGUCACCUCAUCUCAGCCGUUUCUCCCCUGCAGCCUUUUUGUUUGCCGGUGUUUGUUUUCUCUCUUGUUCCGCCUUGUCCUCUACGAGCAUCUGCCUCAUCUGGUCGCGACAGCUCAGCCGGUUUCCCCAUCACAGAGAAAGCGAGAGACGCCCACGCAUAUACGCAUUCUCUGCUGCACCCGUGUGUUAGAGUAGGUUUUUGUUCUUCUUCAACUUGUUCGCUGCAGUCACCACCGCCCAUCAUCUGCCGUCCCGCCACCAGCACCACCAACUGCUCCUCUUCCUCUUUCGCUCGCCUUCUGCUCUAGGUUCCUCCGUCACCUCCCUUCACCAUCUUUGCCACUCACAGUUUUUUCUGUUCAGCCAUAAAUUUUAUACAUCACCGGAUCUCUGCAGGCGAAGACAGGAAGCCCACACGCCGGAACGGAGAGUGUCUGCGCGUGAGUAUCACUGCUUGUGUGUGUGUGUGUGCGUAUGUAUUCUCAGGUUUCGCUGUCGCUGCACCUUCUUUUCUUUUUGUUUUGGUGUUCGGUGUUUUCCCAUUGUUGUUGUUCUUGCUGGGCGUGCCGCUACCCUCUCUUGUCUCGUUGACUGUUUGGAUGUUUUGGUGGGUUUGCUUCUUUUUUUUUUCGUGUGUGUUUGUGUGUGCGUGUGUGCGUUCCGGCGGCCGCAUUGCUUGUACAUAAAUAUAUAUAUAUAUAUAUAUAUACAUCGCUUCUUUUGCCCUCUCGGCGAUAUUGAUCGUCCCUCCUUCUCCUCCUCUCAUCACCGCCAGCAGCGUGCUCCCUCGCUAUCCGCACGUGCGAACGCGCACAGACACGUUGCACGCAGCGUCCCUCCGCUCCUCGUCGUUUUGCGUCUCUCUUCCGCGCUCUUCCUGCCCGUGUUGUUCGUGAACAAGAACACAGACAGACGUGCCUUUUCGACUCCGUCCUGCAUUCUCCUCUGCUUGCGAGCACUCGUCUCUCUUCUGUUUUGGUUUUUUGAUUUUUAUCUUGCAUUCGUGUGUGUGUGUGUGCGCGCGUGUGUGUGUUCUGUCCGCCCUUCACGUGCUGGUCGCUUUCCUUUCGUUUUCGAUUCGUUGAUCUCUCUGCUAACCUGCGGCUCCACUGUGCUAACCAAGCGAUAGAAGGGCAAAAAGACGCAAACAGCGAUGGCAGCAGCGAGCCGCCCUGCAGCUGCGCACACCAAUCACAAAUAGCGAAAAGGAGGCAGGAAUAAAGAGAGGGCAUACACCGUAUCGUGGAACCGUUGUCAUCGCUGCUGAUCGCCUCCUCACUUUACUGGCAAGCACAGGCAGAGGGAGACAGCGAGCGAGACAGAGAAAGAGCAAGCGAAACACACAGACGAGUAUCUAUCCUCUCCUUGAGGACGGAGGCUUUUGUUUUUUUUUUCUUCAUUCGCGUAUUGUGGUCUGCUCGUAGCGCAUCUCUUGUGGUGUGUACCUCGACCACCACCAACACCCUCCUCGCACAAGUGCCCGCACACAGGCAAACACGCACAUCAUCCUUUCUUUGUCGGAGGGAGGGUCUUCGUUCCGUGCCUUGGCGUCUUCUUUCUUUUUCGCCGUGAGCUCUGCUCUCGUGUGGCGGCUCGAUUCGUUUGUUUUUUCCGCUGUUGUGGUGGUGAUCGUCGUCGUCUUGUCGUCCCUCGAGCUUUCCUCCCUUACGCACUCUGUGCGUGUUCGCCGUGGUGGGAGCGGGCGUGCUGUGCUGAUUUGGUGUGUGUGUGUGUGCGUGUGUGUGUGUAUGCACGGCUAGCAAGGCCGAAAAUCAGAGCUGAAUAGAAGUACGACCUCCGACGCUAUCAUCACACCAGCAAGCGGAAAAGAAAAUUAUUCGUUUUUUUUCCACGCUGGCUGUAGACACCUGUCGCACACACACACACACGUGCAACAUACGCACGUGCGCACACCGUGUCCCCUCCACUCAACCGCAAGGAGCAUAAAAGGGAGCAAGGCCUUCACAAACACCGUCACAACACAGCAGCAAGCAACAAAAUCGGAAAGGCGUCGAACAAGUCACCUUGCAUCGAAAAAAAGGGGGAGAGAGGUGAAAGCGAAGCAAGGCGUGGAGACACUGUACAUCUGUCCCUCUCUUCGUCGCCUGACUGUAGUUGUAAGGGUGCUGCUGCUGCAGCUGAAGUCAACAUGUCCGACUUUUCUUCUUCCUCGAGUGACAGCAGCAGCGACGACGGCAUAUUCACGCGGCGAGUAGAGUUUCAGCAGCGGCAGCGUGGAGCAUCCUCAUCAUCUAGCGUUCCAGCUCUAGGGUCGUCUGCCACUCGCGAUGUAGUGGCCAUUAUAUCUGAGAGCGCUCCGCCUUGUACGGUCGAUGCAGUGGAAGCACCGGCUACGGCAGGAGCAACCACCAGUCGUGCACGCUCACAGCCCCCUGAUGUCGCACCAGUAGUGCUGUCGGAGAGGGUCACCACUCAGACAUCCCUGCAGAGCGCCUCUACGGGGUCUGAGGACAAGAGUAGCCCUGGUGGGUCGCCUGUUCAGCGGCGGCGUCGCCGUGUUGCAGGGACUCGGCCCCCAGCAAUCAAGGGCGCACUCGGUAGCCCUACCGAGCCGGCAACCGAGCCGAAACAGCAGCGAGGACGCCGCUCCUCCGUCUCCGAUCCUGGGUCUCCCUUGGAGCUCCCGCCGCCCAGCCGCUCGUCGAGUCGACAGCGACGCACCUCGGUGCACUCCAUGAGCACCGCGGACCUCGCAGCUGCCACUCUAGUGCGAGCGUCGUCUAACACGCUGUCGACAUCCACCAACAAGCGUACAGGCGGUCGUGGCGGAGGCGGCGUUCGCCGCCGGUACCCUCGCGGUGCUGCCACCACCUCUCUGCGCGCAUUGUCACCCGUCUCGGUGUCGCCGACGGCCAGCGCUGUCAACGCCCGGCUGCUAAGCGAUGAGGCUUACCUCGACAUGUUCCACAUCCCGGCCCUCAUCGCCCAACUUUCGCUAUCGCUGAUGGCGGCGAAGCCGAUCGACCCGCGUGCGUUCACCCGCGACUGGCUGGCUGACCGCCUUGUGAGCGAAGAAGAUGAAGACGACGAUAACGCUGAUGACGGUGGCGGCAGCACCAACAGUGGCAGCGGCGCCCGGGAGCAGGGGAGUCAAGUGCCGCCGAGCGACACAGCCGUCCUGACGCGCUCGACAGAGCUACCCAGCAGCACAAGUUUUGUAUUCCAGGCCAGCGGCAGCACAAUGGGCGACUUCGCCAGUGACAGCGGCGCCGCAAGGCCAUGCUUGACGGAGGUCUCGUACCGCCAAGGUCGUUCAGGGCGACACUCGCGCCAACGCCGCCGAACCAACACGUCAGGUGAAGACGAAGCGGACGAUGUAGCAAAGACACCGCUGGAGGCCGACAGCGACGGGGAUAAAACCGGCACAGUCAUCGAUCGGCCCGCGUCCGUGGGGCACGCCUCGCGCAAGCGCAGGGCUUUUGAGCGGCGCGCGCAGCGGAAGGAUCGGCAGAGCGUCGUGACGCCAUCGGAGUCGCGACAGCGCGGUGUCUGCGGCAUCAGCAAUGGCGCUGAAUCACGCAGAAACGAAAUGUCCGCGUCCUCGAGGAACAAUACGAGCGAUGACGCUGACAGCCGCUCGCCUCGGUGUGGGUCGCUGUUGACCACGCUAGCACCGCCGCCUGCAGAGGCCUGCGAGCACAGGGAGCCGCGAGCGGCGGAGUGUGAGGCGAGCAGUCCGAUGCAGAGAAGCGAGGAAGCCGAACGAAAUGCAACUGCAGCUGCGCCGAGCAGUCUCCCUCCCACACCCAAGACUUCCUCAUCCUCUUCGCCCUCGUCAUCAUCGUCGUCCUUCACCGCCUUCAGGUCUCCUGGAAGUGAUGGUGUGGAGUGGGCACGUGUGGAACUUCAGUCGCGCCGAACAACAGUCGCCGGCUCCUCAGCCUCUGCCGACGUUGACAUUCCGUCGUCUCACCGCAGGAUGACAAUGGAGAGCGAGUCCAGCACCUCGACGGAGGGGCUUUCAGCACCGCAUGGGACCACCCACGGCGAGCACGAGGUACGCCAGAGCUCGAGCAGCUCACGCGCCGCUGAGACUGCUGUGAACGACGUUCCGGCUUUGGUGACGGUGGAACGCAAGGGCAUCCAUAAGAGCUGCAGCAGCAGUAGCAGCAGCAGUGCUGGUGAUGGGGCACACGGGCUGGCGGCACUGGCGCAUGACCGAGUUGGUCACACCAGCGGCCGAGCCAUCGAGCUUUCUACUGCUGCUUCCUCGAUGAUCCGCCCAGAAGCCUCAGUGGCGAAGCGCGGUGCGGCCAAGGAGGAAUUUUCGAGGAGCGACAACGAAGCAGAGGAAGGUGGAGAGGCAGAGCGUCACAGCAACUACGUCGCGGCUGACAUAGCUGAGCCUGCGCACAGUACGACCCGUGGAAGUGAGAAGGACGCAGCAGACGCAGCAGCAGCGGCAGCAGAGAGCCACGGAAGGGACGGCGACGACGACUUCAGCUUCGCCAUGUUUGUUCCCAUCCUCGCUGUGGACGCGACGACGAACGAAGUGAUUGACUACCGCGAAGCUGGGGUGUCACCGCCAUCGGCGCCUGCGUUUUCUCCGACUAGCGGUGGCGCUUGUGCACUGCCGUCCUACCCCACCGUCAGCGCAAGUGGGGUCGGAGGCGGCCACCUUGCGCAGACCCACACCUCUACGGCUGUCACACAAUCGUCAGGCUUUCCUCCGUACGCGACGCGACCCGUCUCCUCCACCUUCAACGUCUUGCCCACGCCGAUGCUCGCCGACUUGGUGGGCGGCGGGGGGCUGACAAACACAAGCUUUGGCCGACGCGGUGUGCCGAACACCAGCUUUGGUCGGCGUCCCGCGCCCAUGGCCGGUGCAGCAGGUCGCUACGUCGACCCAGCCGCUGGCGCCAUGACAGGGAGCUCGUCACCGCCGGCCCCGUUCAUCACGCCGCACGCACCAAUGGAUUUGCCUGCACUUGGUGUUAGCGACGGCGUCGUGGACGGCGAGUCCCUGGAAAAUCUGCAGUUGCUUGGCUUCCCAAAGCUGAAUUCGAACUUGGCGGCCGUCUCUGUCGGAUCGGUUACUGGGGUUCGGACAAGCGGCUCUGCUGUUGUGGCUGGAGAGGCCGCUUCCGUGCGGGAGCGCAAGGCAGUGCAGGAUGACGACGUCGCAGAUUCCAAUACAGCAGCACCGUCGGCGUUCUGUCAAUCCGCGGUGCUGCACGGCGCCACCGACGGCGCACGAAACACGAACCUGUCGCUCACGAAAGACACGUUGGGGCCGGUGGUGGCGUUAUCGACCGCAUCCUCGCCGGUCUCUUCUACGAUGAAGCUAGAGUCGGCGCGCCGACUAGGCAAGCUGCUCGACCAGCUGCCCGCCGCCAAGUACGCUGCUGCCAUUGUGUUCCUGGAGGGUCUGUUGAGCAGCAGUGGAGGCAGCAGCGACGCGGCCGCGACACCGGAGAGCGAGUCGAUCAGCAUGAUGGCAAACAUCGGUGAUGCGUCGAACCGCAAUCGCGGUCUUCUGAACCUUACGAGCACAGCAGCCGACACAACACUGGGGAGCGUAGGCUUGUCAGGUGACGGGUCGUCGCCGCUGGUCGGGUCGAUCACGCCAGGGCGGCCGUGGUCGGGCACGUUUGGGCCCGGCCGGAGUCCGACGGGCCGGGCGCGGAGCUUUGCACACCUUGUCGCCGGUGGGAGUAGCCAGGCGCCUGCCUUGGCAGCGAGCGGCCGCAACGAGGAUGGCGCGGGUGCUUUAGCGAUGGUUAGCCGAGCGCCGGAGGGCGGCCACUCGAGGUCUCGCUCCAAAGGCGGGUCCACCUCGGUGGAGGCGUUGGUGCGGGAUGCACUCAGCCAAAGCGUGCUCCGAUCACUCCCGCCAACGCACGAGGAGGUACCUGGCAGCGUGCCCUCAUUGCCCUUGCGCUUGGAGGUCUCAGGGCGUGGCGCCGGCGAGGGAACCAGCAUGGGCAUGCAUCGUGUGCCCUCUCCCACACGGCUGGAAAACACGCAUGGCGAGCGAUUCGCGAGCACCGCUACAUCCACCGCACGUGCCAACACGUCGCGAGGGAGCUCACCCGUCCCGGUUGUCCCUGGCGGCGGCAGCGAUGACGUUACUUUACAGCACCCACCAUCCCAGUCAGAGCGCAGCAACUUGUCCUUCUACAAGCAGCCGUCCAGCACCGAUAUGUCGAACCUGCGUCGUCGAUCUUCAUCACCGUCACCCGGCGGAUAUGCGCUCACUGCCGCGGCGCUCCAGCAGCAGCAGCAGUCGCAACAACAACCGGUGACCAGAAAAGCGACAGAGGACCGUCUCGGCAGCGCUGUCGCCACCAUGCUUCCACAGUCGCUCAGUGGGCCACCGCCGUUGUCCCCCGCAGGUAACUCUAGCCUCGCCACGACGGGCAUCUCUGUUAGCGAGCAGAAGCUUAUGGGCGUGGCUGUGCCGACGCAACCGGGAGCAAGCUGCGUGGCUGACCACGACGAGGCCACAACGCCAGAGCACAGCACUGCACGCACUGCCACGGCCGCUGAUGCACGGGGGGCGGACAGCGGCAAUGAGGACCACCAGGGCGCGGCGUUUGGCGGAUCUGACAGCUGCGACCUUGGCAGCUACGCGGCACAACAGCGUCAAAACCAAGCACUGCAGCAUCACCAUGGCAUCGCCUCUUCCUCUGACCAGAGCCUCGCCGCUCACGCAACGGACCAAAGCACCGUCGAUCGAUUUGCAACCACUGGUGCAGCUGCUGAGGCUGCGGAGCCGAGCGCAACCGUCGCGCCGAAGGCGCUGGAGGGCACACAACGGAGGUGCAGCAACGGGAACGGUGGUUCUUUAUUGCUGCUAGAGCAGCGCGGCGCGCGUGGCGACGGCGACGAGAGCACCCUUCCCCCAGAGUGCGGCACCCAUGAGCAGUUUAUGCCGCUCGACGCGGCGGCGAAUCCCAUUAGCCUGCACACGCAUUCAGCGGAAUCGGUGUCGUCGCUGUCGAGCGGCACUGCGCCGAUCACCAAUUCAGGUGCCGAUGGCGGUGGCGGUCGACGCGCCGGCAACGCCCCGGGAUACUGGCCUGGGACCUUUGGCAACUCCCAAGUCUCUGGUUCGGCUGCUGCGGAGGCCCCUCAAGAGCGGCCGCAGAGCGGUCGAGAGCUCUGCAGUAGCGCCGCCAAAUCCUCGUCUGCGUCCGCAGGGGGAAGCAGCGGUGUGGUGGGCUGGGGCGGCACGGUGUCCGACUCUCCAUCCCCGCCUCUGCACGCACAUCAUCCGCACAGCGCCGGAAGAGAGCUGGAGUUCGACGAUGUCAAUCUCGGCGCCACUUUGCGGAUGGCGGUGGCUCUCGCCGCCGCCGCAGGCACUCAGUCGGCGCGAACGGUGUAUGGCAGCCACAGCAGUAGCAAAGACAGCAUGAACGGGCCUGCCAUCAAGAGCAGCACCCCGAACCAGUCUGCCGGGGUGGCCGUCGUUUCGGGGGCGAAUGUCGUGACGGCGGAUCCUUUCGCCAGCGCGGAUGCCAAUGAGGGGCUCAGCAGUCUUGCCACAGCAGACGAAACAUACGUCAACGACCUCUUUGUGACCCACUCAAGCCAGAGCCCCCCUACGUUGCACGGCAACAACCACAAACCCCUGCUACGCAUGGUGGAUGGCAGCGGCGCUGGCGAAGAUUGCGUCUCUCUGCCGUCUUCGCAGACGGUGUCGCUGCUGAACACGUGCAGCAGCUCCGUCGCCGAAGGGGGCGACGUGUCCGCGGCGACCGCGUCGAUAUUACCACCAGCGAUACCGCCAGUGGCGGUCAGCGCAGAUGGGACCGUUCUCGCCACGCCUAUUACGGCGGCGAUGACCCCCAUCAUCCUCGAGCCCUCGACGCAGUCGCCGCCGCGCUCGGAGCUGCCGAUGGUCACGUCAUCGGUUGUGGUCGCAAUGAACUCGUUCUUCUCCCGAGAGGACCACGUCGCACCGGAGGAGCUGGAGGUGGUUCGCGAGGUCGUGGCUCACUACGACGCCUUCGCCUCCUUGGAUGAGACGCAGCUGGAGACGCUGGUGCGCACAAUGGGGAGGAUGGAGCUGCAGCGCGGGGCCACCGUUGUGCGCGAGGGCGAUAGCACGCUAGGGCAGCUGCUGCUCAUCGUGUCCGGCAAGCUGACGAUCUCGCGCAAAGGACUCGUCACCCGCACACUGGCGCGUGGGCAGUUUUACGGCGAAAUGGAGAUGUCGUACCACGUGGAGCGCAGCCGCGUCACCUUGACAGCCGCCACACCCACCGUGGUGCUAUACGCACUGAAGAAGGUGGACUAUCAGAAGCUCGUCAUUCAUGAGAAGGAUGCUCGAAGGUACAUGUUUCUACAGUACGUCAACGAGUGUGUGCUGUUCAAAGGGCUCUCCCCCUACAUCAAGAUGAGGUUGGCCGACUCGUUCCGCGUGUGCCGGCUGCGCAAAGGCACCAAGCUGACAGAGCAGGGCGCGUCGGUGGAGUGGAUGUACCUGCUUAUGUCGGGCAAUGUGCGCAUGACAUACCAAGCCCCGCCCAGUACUGGGGGAGAGACGAGCGAUUGGCCGUUGCCAAGGCGCGGUGCUGCGCCGGAAGAGGAGGCGCGCCACACGGUCACCACCUCUCACUCUUUUUCAAACUUUGCCGGCUCAACCACACUCAGCGAGGCACACAUGUCCAGCGCCGCGUCUGCCGCAGCGGCUUCGACGGUCGCCGGCACUUCCACGACACGGUGCGGCACCGCCCCCAGCGGCAUUACCGGCUCCUUGUCAUCCUCGCUCACGCCGCUGACCGUCGCUUCCCAGCUGCCGUCUUCGGCACUGUUGUUGUCGCAAGCGGCAAUGGCGAGCUUGAACGCAGGUGCUCAGCAGCAGGACAUGCUGGCAGAGCGCGCCGCGUCCUCUGCUGAGGCUUGCAAAGAAAGCCCUCUGAUCAGCAUGGUGUCGCCGUCACCUGGCGCCAACGCCGCUACGUCACGCAUGCCACAGCUGCUGCACUUGCCGAACGCAAAGGCAGCACACGCUAACAGCCGCGGCAGGAGCGGUGACCACCUCGCAGAGCAAGGCGCAGACGACGGACCGCCACGGCCCAACAGUUCGCGCCCUCGCAGCCGUCGACUGCAGAGCCAGCAGGACCGCAGCGUGAGUGGCUGGCAAGGCCUUUCGCAGCCUAGCGCAUCGGCAGCAGAGUCGCUGGACACCGACAACACCAAGCCGCCGUCGCCGCUGUCCACUUCAGCCUCUGUGCGGCAGUCGGCGAACACGUUGCUGGACACCACCCCCCACAGCAACGCCGCGAGCACGGUGACGACCUCCCUCACAAACACAGCCGCCGCCCUCGCAGGGGCAGCUGGCGUCCACAAAACCGUAGUCGUGGUGGAUCGCUCAAAGGGACAGCUGGUCGGUGAGACGGAGUUUGUGUUCAAGUGCAAGGGCCUCUUCACUGCGGUUGCCACGACACCUGUGCAGGCAGCGCGUAUCAGUCGCCUGCACUUCGAGGCCAUCAUGACUCGUGCCGUCGUCGAGGAGAUGAAGCGCAGCAUGUUGUUGAACCCAGACUACUACUUUUUUGAGUUCACCGUGCCCGAGGCGUUGAAGGAAGACAUGCGGCGCAUGCUAUUCCGAUUGAAUGUUGGGCCGGCGGCACGCCGGCGCACUCGGCACGCGCAGCAGCAGCAGCUCCUUCGGCAUUCGGUGACGGGGGUGGAAGGCACGGUAUCGGGCUCACGCAGCCGCGGCGGCACAGCCGGAGGGAAUAGAGACAGCGAAGCCGGCCGCCGCCAUUGCAGGCAGAGUAUGGUGUUAUCGCGUCGCACUCAGCGCGAGCAUAACCGCGCCUCCUUCAUGGACAACAUAACAGGCGGGCCCGGCGGUUCUAGCAACGGUCCGAACGGGACGACCGGCAGCAGCGGCAGUAACAGUCACAGCACGUCACCGCCGCUUGUCGCUGUGUGUGUGCAGGACGGUGGUCGCGAACGCAACGAUGGUAGCACCUCUCAGGCGGGGAGCAAGCGGCACCACGCCGGCCACCGUCGCUUCCGCACUGCGCCGCUGGAGAUCAGCCCGACGAUGGCGCGCUUGUCGACGGAAAGGGCAACCGCCGACAGCGUUGACGCAGCAGGAAUGGAGUCUUCCGCAUUGCACUAUCUCGCAGCGCCAACUGUGUGCGGCGGCCCCUUCGCAAGCCCGGCAGUGGCCAGCACCGCUGUCGUCUCAUCCACGAGUGCUGGAGAGGAUUCGGUGUCGUUCACCCCUGCACCGGCGGCGACCAUGGGCAGCAUGGGCAACGUGAAGGGGAGAGGCAGUAGCAGCGAUGGUGAUCACAACCGCUAUUCGCGCGCCACAGCCCGUCUUACCACGGCGGGGCGGCGCACCAGCUUCACGAAGCACUCCUCCACCACCACGAGUAUCCGGCGCCGUGUCAGCACGCGUGGAGAGAUUGUCUUCUCGGGUAGCCGCAACCUUUACCGCUUUACAGCGGAGGCGAUGAGCAUGAAUGAGAGCAUCGUCAUCGCCGUCGUCGUGGACGGCACGAUCAUCCGAUGGAACUCCGUCGCGCAGAGCGUCACCGGCUAUGCGCCGUUUGAGGCGAUCGGCAAGAGCGUUUUCGACUUCAUCGUCUCCGAGGACGGGCGGCAGCACAUGCGUGACACCCUCGCCGUCGCCGCGCGCUUUGCCGGCAGGUGGGAGCAGUACAACAUGCGAGGACUGCAGGAGCAGCGCGUCUUCCCGUUUCGCCAAAACGCCGGACUCUACCAAGUCGGUCUAGCGCUCUCGGUCAUCCCGUCCAACUACGCCAAGACGGCGGAGGUGCUCCUGUUGAUUGGCCGGGAGGGCAAGUAUCGGGCGGCCAGCACGUACGCGGCGGAUGUGGCCAAGUGGUUGGAGGGGUCCCUAAAACCGCAGCUGCGCCAGUUUCAGCGCCGCAUGGUGCAGAUCGAGUCGCACGGAUGGCAACUGACAGCCGAGGACGCGCUGCAGGUGCGCGGAAACCUCGAUGCGUGCAUGUCCAUGGUGGAGCAGUUCACAAAGUUUUCGCUGCUGAACAUGGAUGUGGUGAGUCAGUCGUGGCGGCCGGUGCGAGUUUCAGCGCUACUGCGCCGCUUCGCGGUGGAGGCGAUGGCGUUUGCCCGGCAGCAGCAGCACGAGUAUUACUGCAACAUCGACUUGGUAGAGCCCAAGGCAGAGGUGUUUCUUGACUCCCCGCAGGUGCUCGCUAUACUGCGGCUUCUGCUGGGCGACGCGCUUCAGUGCCCCAAUAUGGGCGACGACGGGAACGCGAUCGUCGUACACGCGGAGCUGCGGGUGACCGUGGUGGAGCCGCAAGACACGAACCAAGUGCCGCUGAGCAUCGGAAGUCCUGUCGGCCGCGUGAGCGGUGGCGGCAGUAGCGCGGGUGGUUUUGCCGGUCUUUUCGCUCCGCCGAACAUGUCGUCGAUAGCGCCGCCAGAGAACCACAGCAGCAGCAGCAGCGCCGCCGCCGCCCAUGGACUGCGUAACGUGGUGGCCUCGCCGUCCGGGUCGGCCAAGCCCAGCUAUCCGGUGAUCCACACCCCAGUCUCCGCGGUGCAGUCGAGCAGUGAAGCCGCCCCCCUUAUCCCGUCGGGUGUCAGCCUGCCGCACCGGCCGCUGCCACGCGGGCAUUCACCGCCGCUGCAAGCGCAGAAGUCCUAUCAACACCACGGAAGCGAUACGGUGCUGCCCAACCAUAGCCACGACUCUCCUCUCGUAGCCCUGGUAAACGAAAAGGCCCCCGGCAGCGGCGGCAACGCCCAAGGUGGGGCGGACGGUUCCCCAAACUCUGCCGCGGUGUGGCCUACGCCUGGCUCUACGACGUCGAGCGGCGCCGGAAUGCGUGGUCUCCCAAGCGCACCCAUCUCCAACGCCCUCACCUCCACGCUGCGGCGCAUUCGCUUCGAGCUUCGUGACGACGGCCCAACAAUACCGAGCCUCCGCGGCCACGAGGCAGUGGCGAGCGAGCGCACGCACGACCACGCGUCACCAGAGAGCGCUUCUGUCGAUGAUUCUGCAGCCCUCAACUCGACCUCGCCAAAGUCGGCCUCGUGCACCAGCGAGCGAGUCGCUGGUGAUGGCGCCGGUGACGGAGGCGGGCUCAGUGCCGGUCUCGAAGCCAGCAGGAGCUUCACUUUUGCAGCAGCCAGCGCGCGUCGGGGCGCAGAGCUCGAGCAGGUGGAGAAGAUACUGGCCAACCUCGGCGGUGUCGUGUACGGCUUCACGCGGCCGGAGGUACCCGGGAACGUGGUACGGGUUGAGCUGCCGCUGCUCGUCGUGCCGGGCUCGACCGAUGACGGGCGGGAUGAAGAGAACGGCGGCGGUGGAGGCGGAGGCGGCACAGCGGCGCCGCCGUCCAGUGCUACGCGCACCUUCACGGUGAUUGUCGCCGACAGCAACCGCCUGCAUCAGCAGCAGCUCUGCCGCGUUCUUUGGGCGCGGCAGCACGCAGUCGUCCCCGUCACAAGCUUUCGCGACCUGGGACGCAAGCUGGAGAUGAACACCGCCGAUAUUCUGCUCAUUGACCCACUCCAUAUCGACAUCGCAUCCGAGGACUACGAGUCGCUGUUGGGCGACGACCCUUUCGACGACAUUCGCGUUCUGUCCGCACGGCUGGCGCUUGUAGUGAUGGCAUCUGACUUCAGUGACUGGCGCGUGCAGAAGCUGCUGAACCGGCACGCCGUUGUGGAACUACCCAAAGUCGGCUCCGGCGCCCUGGUCCACAUUGCGAUGCAGGAGGCCGAGCAGCUCGUCACGGAAAUGCGGGACGAGGAGGAGCGGCUGGAUCUGAUUCGCCGCACCUUCACGAACAGCUCAACCGAGCGCCACAAGAUCGGCAAACGCAUCGGCAAAGGUGCCUUUGGAGACGUGUUCGAGGUGGAGGACACGCUGACGGGCGGCAAGAUGGCGAUGAAGCGCAUGCGCCUGCACGACGGACUGCUGGCGGACGAGGUGGUGCAGGAAAUCUUAGCCAUGACGACGCUGACGCAUGAGAAUAUCAUUCAGUACUUCUACUGUGAAAAGGAAAGCGACACGCUGCUGCGCCUGUACAUGGAGCUGGCGCCUGGCGGCACGCUGCGUGACAAGAUUCGGGAGACGCCCGGAGUGCCGCUGCCCUUCGAGGAGAUUGUGCACCACCUCUCGUGCAUCUGUCACGGCCUCGCGUACGUGCACGAGAAGAGCUACGUGCACGGGGAUCUCAAGACGGCAAACCUUCUGCUUGGCACGCGCAACCGCACCAAGAUUGGUGACUUUGGUACCGCGAAGCACUUGGCGCCGCAUCAGCUGCUCUACACGAUGGUCGGCACCCCGCAGUAUAUGGCGCCGGAGGUGCUUACCGCAGAUGUGGAGCAGAGACUCGGCUACGACUUCAAGGCCGACAUUUGGUCGCUGGGCUGCAUCGUGCUGGAGAUGGCCACAGGCAGCCCGCCCUUCGCACACAUGGAGUGCGCGCAGGGGAUGGGUAUCAUCAAGUACCUCACCGAGCUGACGGACACUCCUGACCUGUCGCCGCUGUUCUCCGGCAACCCGCUCGUGUACGAGUUCGUGAAAAGCUGUCUCGAUGUCGACCCCCAAAACCGCCCGACGGCGCAGGAGCUGCUGCACUUUGACAUCUUGGAAGGCGCCGUGGCGAGUCAGCGAGCGGAACGGCUCGUGCGGCGUGCGGAGAUGCUCUACAAACUAAACAAAUACGCCGCGAUGCGCGCCGACGGCGGCGGUGGCGGGACGGGGAGGAACACCAGUGGCGGCGGCGGUGGCCGGGGUGGCGCCGCACGGGGCGGAGGCCAUGACGGCUCAGAGGACAGCGAAGAGGCGGAGGGUGACGAUGGCAACCACAGCAGCCUCUACGACAGUGGGGUUCUCUUCUCCAGCAGCGACAGCACCGCUUACGAGGAGGAGUACGACGACGAAGACGAUUAUGACGAGAACGACGAGCUGAGCGAGCACGACAGCGCCGAGGAUGUGAUGGAGAACGACAGUGUCCCAAGAGAGAAGCGCGACCGGCAGCACUCCCCUCCUACAUCGUCCUCCCCGGCUUUCAUGCCUGAAGGAGCGAAAUAGCGAAUGAUGAGAGAAGACGGAAGGAUCGACGAAAAUGCGUGCGCUUGUGUGUGUGUGUGUGUGUGUGUGUGUGUGUGUGUGUGUGUGUGUGUGUGUGUGUGAGUGUGAGCGUGUUGGAGGGAGACGGGGGCUGAAGCGCUACGCUGGCGCCUGGCGUGUCUUGCUUUGCCACCGUGGGUUGCCGAUGUACAUUAGCGGCAGGUAACAGGAGCGAGUGCUAGAUCAUACCAGUACAAUUUUCGUGUCUGUUCCAUGUUAUCGGGCGCGCCGCCUCCGCCCACCCCCUCCACCGAUCUGUCCCCUGCCCCGCUCUCUCGCCCACGGCGUCUCCCUUCACGGCUUCUUGCUAUGGUGGGUCUGUGAAGCCUCCCCUGUGUCAGCACCGCCCCAUGCACCGAUGCGGAGAACAGAAUGAGAGAGGGAGGAAGGGGAGAGGCCCACACGUAUGCACAGCGGCUCUGCAUGGGCUUGGCGCGGUUGCGGAUGAGGGCGUCCGUCAUGCCGCUCCUUUGGGGGUUGCUUCUAUAGUAGUUGUUGGUACGUAAAUGCUCGGGGGUGUUGGGAGGGCUAGGGAGCGCAUGCACGGAUGAUACGCUGUGCCGUUUUUCGUACAUAACUGCGCUGUCUGCGUAAGCAAGGCAUAUAUAAAUGUAACGCAUGGAAAGCGUCGCCGAUCGUGACGGAGGAAGGGAAAAGCUGGCCGCACGUGAUGUAAGCGCAGCCAGAAGGGCGGUCGCGGCGCAGACUCCUUGUUCGUAUUUCUCUCCCUCCCUCUCGUGACCACAAAUGGGUGUAACCCACGAAGAAAGAAGGCGAGCGAUUGGCAGCAGCAUCUAUGCCUUGAUCACCAAACUCCGUAAUGCCUGUGCGAGAGCCGGUGAGCGAGAGGCGCACACACGCACACACAAGCACAAAUGUGAGCUCACACUAGUGCUCUCCCAGAACAGCCGUCUUUUCGCCUUUCCUCCUCCCCCAGAUCCCAACACGCAAGUGUCUGCCCCUCACAGCCUCCACGUUGUGUGUAUUCUAUGUGUGUGUGUGUGUGUGUGUGUGUGUACAUGUGUGUUGGUGUGCUCCUCCACCUCCGCCCUCUUCUUGUGUUGUUUGGAUCUUCGCUACGCGCAUGCUCGCACAUCCGCGCCGCCACGCGACUCUUCAGCCCCCCCCCCCAGGCCUCGCCCCCUCCUCUCGCCGCCCCCUCGCGUGUGCGCCUGCGUACAACGUCCGCCUCUCUGUCCCUCUCCUCCUUCCCGCUUCUUUACUCGUAUCGCCUUCGAGGCUGCCGGUCAG